UACGGAGGAUGGGAGCGUUAUCCGGAUUUAUUGGGUUUAAAGGGUGCGCAGGCGGAGGUGCAAGUCAGCGGUCAAAUUGCGGGGCUCAACCCCGUACUGCCGUUGAAACUGCAUCCCUUGAGUGCGCGAGAAGUAUGCGGAAUGCGUGGUGUAGCGGUGAAAUGCAUAGAUAUCACGCAGAACUCCGAUUGCGAAGGCAGCAUACCGGCGCGCAACUGACGCUCAUGCACGAAAGCGUGGGUAUCGAACAGG
rnacentral:rRNA from 1 species